rnacentral:rRNA from 1 species
AGAGUUUGAUCCUGGCUCAGGAUGAACGCUGGCGGCGUGCCUAACACAUGCAAGUCGAGCGAUUCUCUUCGGAGAAGAGCGGCGGACGGGUGAGUAACGCGUGGGUAACAUGCCCUGUACACACGGAUAACAUACCGAAAGGUAUGCUAAUACGAGAUAAUAUGCUUUUAUCGCAUGGUAGAAGUAUCAAAGCUUUUGCGGUACAGGAUGGACCCGCGUCUGAUUAGCUAGUUGGUAAGGUAACGGCUUACCAAGGCGACGAUCAGUAGCCGACCUGAGAGGGUGAUCGGCCACAUUGGAACUGAGACACGGUCCAAACUCCUACGGGAGGCAGCAGUGGGGAAUACUGCACAAUGGGCGAAAGCCUGAUGCAGCAACGCCGCGUGAGCGAUGAAGGCCUUCGGGUCGUAAAGCUCUGUCCUCAAGGAAGAUAAUGACGGUACUUGAGGAGGAAGCCCUGGCUAACUACGUGCCAGCAGCCGCGGU